AGUGAACGCUGGCGGUAGGCCUAACACAUGCAAGUCGAACGGCAGCACAGUAAGAGCUUGCUCUUACGGGUGGCGAGUGGCGGACGGGUGAGGAAUACAUCGGAAUCUACUUUUUCGUGGGGGAUAACGUAGGGAAACUUACGCUAAUACCGCAUACGACCUACGGGUGAAAGCAGGGGAUCUUCGGACCUUGCGCGAUUGAAUGAGCCGAUGUCGGAUUAGCUAGUUGGCGGGGUAAAGGCCCACCAAGGCGACGAUCCGUAGCUGGUCUGAGAGGAUGAUCAGCCACACUGGAACUGAGAAACGGUCCAGACUCCUACGGGAGGCAGCAGUGGGGAAUAUUGGACAAUAGGCGCAAGCCUGAUCCAGCCAUACCGCGUGGGUGAAGAAGGCCUUCGGGUUGUAAAGCCCUUUUGUUGGGAAAGAAAAGCAGCAGGUUAAUACCCCGCUGUUCUGACGGUACCCAAAGAAUAAGCACCGGCUAACUUCGUG
rnacentral:rRNA from 1 species